CACCAAUCAAGCCUCGCUUGGUAUUGGGCCCCGGGGGCGACCCGGACCCCAAAUUCGCCGGCUGGAAAGCUCUGAUCUCAGCGUCGUGGUUCAAAAAACUCGCUGGUGGGAGGAGACUUCCGCGCCGUUAAAAUUUCAUUCAA
rnacentral:misc_RNA from 1 species